AUUGAACGCUGGCGGCAGGCCUAACACAUGCAAGUCGGGCGGCAGCACAGGUACUUGUACCGGGUGGCGAGCGGCGGACGGGUGAGUAAUGCCUAGGAAUCUGCCUGGUAGUGGGGGAUAACGCUCGGAAACGGACGCUAAUACCGCACACGUCCUACGGGAGAAAGCAGGGGACCUUCGGGCCUUGCGCUAUCAGAUGAGCCUAGGUCGGAUUAGCUAGUUGGUGAGGUAAAGGCUCACCAAGGCGACGAUCCGUAACUGGUCUGAGAGGAUGAUCAGUCACACUGGAACUGAGACACGGUCCAGACUCCUACGGGAGGCAGCAGUGGGGAAUAUUGGACAAUGGGCGAAAGCCUGAUCCAGCCAUGCCGCGUGUGUGAAGAAGGUCUUCGGAUUGUAAAGCACUUUAAGUUGGGAGGAAGGGUCGUUACCUAAUACGUGACGAUUUUGACGUUACCGACAGAAUAAGCACCGGCUAACUCUGUGCCAGCAGCCGCCGCGGUAA
rnacentral:rRNA from 1 species